rnacentral:rRNA from 1 species
GAGUUUGAUCGUGGCUCAGAUUGAACGCUAGCGGGAUGCCUUACACAUGCAAGUCGAACGGCAGCACGGACUUCGGUCUGGUGGCGAGUGGCGAACGGGUGAGUAAUGUAUCGGAACGUGCCUAGUAGCGGGGGGAUAACUACGCGAAAGCGUAGCUAAUACCGCAUACGCCCUACGGGGAAAGCAGGGGAUCGCAAGACCUUGCACUAUUAGAGCGGCCGAUAUCGGAUUAGCUAGUUGGUGGGGUAACGGCUCACCAAGGCGACGAUCCGUAGCUGGUUUGAGAGGACGACCAGCCACACUGGGACUGAGACACGGCCCAGACUCCUACGGGAGGCAGCAGUGGGGAAUUUUGGACAAUGGGGGAAACCCUGAUCCAGCCAUCCCGCGUGUGCGAUGAAGGCCUCGGUGUAAGCACUUGUCAGAAGAACGUACAUGG